rnacentral:rRNA from 1 species
UACGUAGGGUGCGAGCGUUGUCCGGAAUUAUUGGGCGUAAAGAGCUCGUAGGCGGUGUGUCACGUCGGCCGUGAAAACCUGCAGCUUAACUGUGGGCUUGCGGUCGAUACGGGCAUCACUGGAGUUCGGCAGGGGAGACUGGAAUCCUGGUGUAGCGGUGAAAUGCGCAGAUAUCAGGAGGAACACCAGUGGCGAAGGCGACUUUCUGGGCUGUAACUGACGCUGGAGGCGCGAAAGCCGUGGGGAGCAAACAGG